rnacentral:tRNA from 1 species
GAGGGUGUAAGCUCAGGGGUAGAGCAUGUGCUUAGCAUGCACACUGUCCUGGGUUCAGUCCCCAGUACCUCCA